UCAAUCAAACUCAGUAGGGGCACGGUCAAUGAGGUAUGAGAUUUUUAGCAGUACAGUAGGAUAUUUAUAUACCAAGACAAACCCCUCACAUCCACCAUGUCCCUACUGUCCGCUUGCAGGUGUUCCCCGAAGCUCUUGCAUUCAACAAAGUCCUCCUUGUGCCUUUCCGAAUGUAGCAUGUCUCAUCGUGUCUUCCAGAAACGCCACUACAUCAACAGUAAGAACUCUGCACACAAACCUGAGAGAUGUGCUCUCGAAUCUCGUUCCUAAAGAACAGAGUAGGAUUAAGAACUUCAAAACGCAGUAUGGCAACAUCGGCUCGAUCUCUGUGGAUAUGAUAUACGGUGGGAUAAGAGGUAUGAAGGGCCAGGUGUAUGAAACCUCAGUGCUGGAUGCAGAUGAGGGAAUUUGUUUCCGUGGCUACAGCAUUCCGGAGUGCCAGCAACUGUUGCCCAAGGCUCCAGGACUUGCCGAGCCCCUGCCCGAUGGUCUGUUCUGGCUGCUGGUGACAGGCCAGGUGCCCACAGAGGAACAGGUGAACUGGCUGUCCAAGGAGUGGGCCAAGCGUGCAGCUCUUCCCUCCCAUGUGGUCACCAUGCUGGAUAACUUCCCCACCAACCUCCACCCCAUGUCUCAGUUCAGCGCCGCCAUCACAGCUCUGAACAGCGAGAGCAGCUUCGCCCAGGCCUACUCCGAGGGAGUGAACAAAGCCAAGUACUGGUGGGAGAAAAUUGUUUCUUCUCUCAGUUUGUCUAAUUAAGACUCCAUGGAUCUUAUCGCUAUGCUGCCUUGCGUGGCGGCCAAGAUUUACCGCAACCUUUACCGCGAGGGAAGCAGCAUCGGUGCCAUUGACUCCAGUCUGGACUGGUCCCACAACUUUACCAACAUGUUGGGCUACAGGGACGCCACGUUCACUGAGCUCAUGUGCCUCUACCUCACCAUUCACAGUGACCAUGAGGGUGUUAACGUGAGUGCCCACACCAGCCACUUGGUGGGCAGUGCCCUGUCUGACCCCUACCUCUCCUUCAGCGCAGCUAUGAAUGGUCUGGCUGGACCUCUUCAUGGAUUGGCUAACCAGGAGGUGCUGGUGUGGCUCACAGCACUGCAGAAGGAGAUGGGAGGAGAAGUGUCUGACGAGGCCAUGAGAGACUACAUCUGGAACACCCUCAAGUCUGGAAGGGUGGUUCCAGGCUACGGCCACGCUGUCCUGAGGAAGACAGACCCCAGGUACACCUGCCAGCAGGAGUUUGCCUUCAAGCACUUGCCCGAUGACCCCAUGUUCAAGCUGGUGCACCAACUCUACAAGAUCGUGCCCAAUGUGCUGCUGGAGCAGGGCAAGGCCAAGAACCCCUGGCCCAACAUGGACGCCCACAGUGGAGUGCUUCUGCAGUACUACGGCAUGACAGAGAUGAACUACUACACGGUGCUGUUCGGCGUGUCCCGAGCACUGGGGAUGCUGGCCCAUCUGAUUUGGAGCCGAGCCCUGGGCUUCCCCCUGGAGUGCCCCAAGUCCAUGAGCACAAACGGACUCAUAACCCUGGUGGGAGCCAACAAUUCCAGUUAAAGAUGAAGUAUCAAAGGAAGAGGGGAGGAAGGCAAAGAAGAACAAAAGGGGGGAGGUAGAGGGUAGGGGGAUGCAUAAGAUGCAUUACACUUGUGAAAAGAAGGGCCUUUGCUGGAUUUAGUCGGUUCAUGUCAGUGACACUAAUGUCGGGCAUACACCACACGACUUUCAAAUAUCGCUGAGCCUCUCACAUUAAUACCACUGUCUUUCCUGUAGUUUUCUGUCUUGCCAACGUAGUGAUACUCACGACACUAAAUGAUGUCACACACUACAAGAUUCUUCAUUUGGUCGUAAGGAUUCUCGAUACCACGCUGUCUCGCAAAAAUAAUGUGAUGUGAUUGUGCAGCUAGAACGAGCUGUGGGCCAAAGAGCCUCAAAACAUUUGGUUAGACAUUCACGCUUGCCAUAGAGUUGAAAUAUUUAACCAAUACAUUUUGAAUUAAAUAACAUUGUGAACUUCAGAGCUGUACUGAUUUGACACUAGCUUUGGUUAAAGGGAAGUACAAACGUAGGCUAGUAGUCAUCACUCCUGUUCGAGAGUCAGUACACACAUUCUGAUGCGAUACAACGUCAUCUCACUGGCUUCUCUGGUGAGCUCUCAUUGGCUGUUGCUGAUCACAGUUCUCAAAAUGUUUCGUUGCACAUCUCACACUACAGGAGCAUGGCAGAGUUUGUGUUGAUAAAAUCAAACGUUUCAAAAUAUCCGGAUAACUCAGACAGGAUCGAUAGCCCUCAGAUUGCGUCUCUGGCCCGCUCACAUUAUAUGAGCGUCAGUAACGGCCGUGCGCCCCGACUACGCAACGACUUGGGAAUUUUGUCUCCGAUCUCAAACUUGUCUGGGACAGGUAAAUCGGGCCAAAAUCAUGUAGUCUACUUAUGGUUUAUGGUAAUAUUUUUUUAUUUUGUGAAACUGAGCCAUGCUAGUUGAGUCUUAUGUAUUUAAGCUGACCUGGUUUUGUAAAGAACUCAAAAUAUCAUGUCAAUUUUUCGGUUGGAGAAUCUGGGGCACUUGCAUUGUCAGACGGAAUUUUCCAAAAUAACGAAACAAAAGACAACACUCCAUGGCAGGCAAGGUCCUUCUGUAAUAUAACCACAGAAGAAUAUGUACAGUCUGCAAAUGACCAGGGUCUGUAGGUUCGUAAAAGUAUACUGCUGCCCCUUUCAUCAAUGAUUGACGUCACACCACUAUAAAUCAAGGCCAAGUUCACUUAUUACACCAUUUUUUGCCAGUGUUCGCCAACCCAUUGCACUUCUGGUAAACGGAAUACUAUGCAGGUUGCUUUGUACAGUGCUUCACAAAUAGCUCUGUUCAAUUGGGAAGGGAGGUUGUUUUGAAAAGUGAUCAGGGUAAGAAGACAGCACCAUUUUCCAUUUUAUUUUAAAUCUACCUGAGAUGAAAGGGUUGAUAAAAAAAAAAUAAAAAAAACGUUUUAUUAUAUUGUGUUAUAUCACACUUGGGGGUAAUCUUUCUUGUAGAGUUUUUCUUCAAGACCCGAGGGCAACUUAAAAACAUCAAUGGAACAUUUCCUUCUAGUCAGAAAAAUAAAUGUAAUUCGAGAGCUGGCAAGCAAUGACUAAAUAGUACGCGUGACCCGUUAAUAUUGGUGUCUCAAUCGAUGUACUGUUAGAAUGUUUUGUAAAUGUUUGUUUUAGAAAGUCUGCUGGUUUUACUACGUCCAACUGUAAUGUCUCAUCUUGCUCAUGACGCAAGUACACAUCUGAAACACCAUACCAACUAAUCAUUAAAUAAGAAUUUGUUCAAAUGACUUGCCUAUUUAAAGGUUACAUUUUAAAAACUAAGAAAUUGUGUUCAACUGGAUUGUUAUUAAGGUAUAGAUUUGCUUGGUUUAGUUUUAAGGUUGCUCUCAGGUCUAGUGGGUGGGGAGAGGGCUUGUUUGUAAUGGUCUGUUUCAAUCCAGACCAUAUCCAAUACACUCUAAUUGGGCACAACACUGACAGUACCCCCUGGCUAUUCAUUUAAUUUGUUUUCAAACAGCCCCCCCUCACAAUGUCUACCCCCUGUAGUGUAUUUCCCAAAUAGUACAUAUGUAUUUUAGACGUAUUUUAGUUUGUCCUGUUCCUGUAUUUGAUCCUGUUCUAACCAAAUAUUUUGUUAUUCUGGUAUAAAGAUAAAUAUAUCUUACAUGAGAUCAUUGUGAAGUGGAGAAAUCUGAACUUUAUUAUCUAGCAGAGCUGGAUAUGGGAGAGAAAAUGGAAAACAAUUUGAAAUAAAAGGCAAAUGUUAACAAUUA